rnacentral:rRNA from 1 species
UUCGCCCUUAGAGUUUGAUCCUGGCUCAGGACCAAUGCUGGCGGCGCGCCUAACACAUGCAAGUCGAACGAGCGAGAGAGAGCUUGCUUUCUCAAGCGAGUGGCGAACGGGUGAGUAACGCGUGAGGAACCUGCCUCAAAGAGGGGGACAACAGUUGGAAACGACUGCUAAUACCGCAUAAGCCCACGGCUCGGCAUCGAGCAGAGGGAAAAGGAGCAAUCCGCUUUGAGAUGGCCUCGCGUCCGAUUAGCUAGUUGGUGAGGUAACGGCCCACCAAGGCGACGAUCGGUAGCCGGACUGAGAGGUUGAACGGCCACAUUGGGACUGAGACACGGCCCAGACUCCUACGGGAGGCAGCAGUGGGGAAUAUUGCACAAUGGGGGAAACCCUGAUGCAGCGACGCCGCGUGGAGGAAGAAGGUCUUCGGAUUGUAAACUCCUGUUGUUGAGGAAGAUAAUGACGGUACUCAACAAGGAAGUGACGGCUAACUACGUGCCAGCAGCCGCGGUAAAACGUAGGUCACAAGCGUUGUCCGGAAUUACUGGGUGUAAAGGGAGCGCAGGCGGGAAGACAAGUUGGAAGUGAAAUCCAUGGGCUCAACCCAUGAACUGCUUUCAAAACUGUUUUUCUUGAGUAGUGCAGAGGUAGGCGGAAUUCCCGGUGUAGCGGUGGAAUGCGUAGAUAUCGGGAGGAACACCAGUGGCGAAGGCGGCCUACUGGGCACCAACUGACGCUGAGGCUCGAAAGUGUGGGUAGCAAACAGGAUUAGAUACCCUGGUAGUCCACACUGUAAACGAUGAUUACUAGGUGUUGGAGGAUUGACCCCUUCAGUGCCGCAGUUAACACAAUAAGUAAUCCACCUGGGGAGUACGACCGCAAGGUUGAAACUCAAAGGAAUUGACGGGGGCCCGCACAAGCAGUGGAGUAUGUGGUUUAAUUCGAAGCAACGCGAAGAACCUUACCAGGUCUUGACAUCCUACUAACGAGAUAGAGAUAUGUUAGGUGCCCUUCGGGGAAAGUAGAGACAGGUGGUGCAUGGUUGUCGUCAGCUCGUGUCGUGAGAUGUUGGGUUAAGUCCCGCAACGAGCGCAACCCUUGCUAUUAGUUGCUACGCAAGAGCACUCUAAUAGGACUGCCGUUGACAAAACGGAGGAAGGUGGGGACGACGUCAAAUCAUCAUGCCCCUUAUGACCUGGGCUACACACGUACUACAAUGGACAUUAACAGAGGGAAGCAAUACAGUGAUGUGGAGCAAACCCCUAAAAAUGUUCUCAGUUCAGAUUGCAGGCUGCAACCCGCCUGUAUGAAGAUGGAAUUGCUAGUAAUCGCAGAUCAGCAUGCUGCGGUGAAUACGUUCCCGGGCCUUGCACACACCGCCCGUCA